rnacentral:rRNA from 1 species
GAUGAACGCUGGCGGCGUGCUUAACACAUGCAAGUCGAACGGAAAGGCCCUGCUUUUGUGGGGUGCUCGAGUGGCGAACGGGUGAGUAACACGUGAGUAACUUGCCCUUGACUUUGGGAUAACUUGAGGAAACUGGGGCUAAUACCGGAUAGGAGCUCCUGCUGCAUGGUGGGGGCUGGAAAGCUUCGGCGGUUGGGGUUGGACUCGCGGCUUAUCAGCUUGUUGGUGGGGUAGUGGCUUACCAAGGCUUUGACGGGUAGCCGACCUGAGAGGGUGACCGGCCACAUUAGGACUAAGAUACGGCCCAGACUCGAACGGUGGACAACGGUGGAAAGUAUUACACAGUAAGCGCAAGCCUGAUACGACGGCGCCGCGGGCGGAAUGACGGCCUUCGCGUUAUGAACCACUUUCGCCUAUGACGAAGCGUGAAUGACGGUAAUGGAUAAAGAAGCACCGGCUAACUACGUG